GUGGGGGAUAUUGCACAAUGGGCGAAAGCCUGAUGCAGCGACGCCGCGUGAGGGAAGACGGUUUUCGGAUUGUAAACCUCUGUCUUAAGGGAAGAAAAUGACGGUACCUUAAGAGGAAGCUCCGGCUAACUACGUGCCAGCAGCCGCGGUAAUACGUAGGGAGCGAGCGUUGUCCGGAAUUACUGGGUGUAAAGGGAGCGUAGGCGGGAGCGCAAGUUAAAUGUUUAAACUAUCGGCUCAACUGAUAGUCGCGUUUAAAACUGCGUUUCUUGAGUGAAGUAGAGGCAGGCGGAAUUCCUAGUGUAGCGGUGAAAUGCGUAGAUAUUAGGAGGAACACCAGUGGCGAAGGCGGCCUGCUGGGCUUUAACUGACGCUGAGGCUCGAAAGCGUGGGGAGCAAACAGGAUUAGAAACCCUAGUAGUCC
rnacentral:rRNA from 1 species